ACCAGACUCCUACGGGAGGCAGCAGUGGGGAAUAUUGGACAAUGGGGGAAACCCUGAUCCAGCGACGCCGCGUGAGUGAAGAAGUAUUUCGGUACGUAAAGCUCUAUCAGCAGGAAAGAAAAUGACGGUACCUGACUAAGAAGCCCCGGCUAACUACGUGCCAGCAGCCGCGGUAAUACGUAAGGGGCAAGCGUUAUCCGGAUUUACUGGGUGUAAAGGGAGCGUAGACGGCAGCGCAAGUCUGGAGUGAAAGGCGGGGGCUCAACCCCCGGACUGCUCUGGAAACUGUAGAACUAGAGUGCAGGAGGGGUAAGUGGAAUUCCUAGUGUAGCGGUGAAAUGCGUAGAUAUUAGGAGGAACACCAGUGGCGAAGGCGGCUUACUGGACUGUAACUGACGUUGAGGCUCGAAAGCGUGGGGAGCAAACAGGAUUAGAUACCCCAGUAUCA
rnacentral:rRNA from 1 species